rnacentral:rRNA from 1 species
AGAGUUUGAUCCUGGCUCAGAGCGAACGCUGGCGGCGUGCUUAACACAUGCAAGUCGAACGAGUGUAGCAAUACAUUCGUGGCGGACGGGUGCGUAACACGUGGGUAACCUUCCUUGAGGUGGGGAAUAACCCCGCGAAAGCGGGGCUAAUACCGCAUAACACAGCGAUGGCACAUGCCGUUGCUGUCAAAGGAGCAAUU